rnacentral:ncRNA from 15 species
UGUAGUCCGUGGAAUGGCGUUUCCACUAAUUCAAACCGCCGGCUGAAGCUGGCUGAUGACGCCUGCUUGAAA